AGAGUUUGAUCCUGGCUCAGGAUGAACGCUGGCGGCGUGCCUAAUACAUGCAAGUCGAACGAGUUCUGAUUAUUGAAAGGUGCUUGCAUCUUGAUUUAAUUUUGAACGAGUGGCGGACGGGUGAGUAACACGUGGGUAACCUGCCCUUAAGUGGGGGAUAACAUUUGGAAACAGAUGCUAAUACCGCAUAAAUCCAAGAACCGCAUGGUUCUUGGCUGAAAGAUGGCGUAAGCUAUCGCUUUUGGAUGGACCCGCGGCGUAUUAGCUAGUUGGUGAGGUAACGGCUCACCAAGGCAAUGAUACGUAGCCGAACUGAGAGGUUGAUCGGCCACAUUGGGACUGAGACACGGCCCAAACUCCUACGGGAGGCAGCAGUAGGGAAUCUUCCACAAUGGACGCAAGUCUGAUGGAGCAACGCCGCGUGAGUGAAGAAGGCUUUCGGGUCGUAAAACUCUGUUGUUGGAGAAGAAUGGUCGGCAGAGUAACUGUUGUCGGCGUGACGGUAUCCAACCAGAAAGCCACGGCUAACUACGUGCCAGCAGCCGC
rnacentral:rRNA from 2 species